CAUCUCUGUUGUGUAUAUUUUGGUUUGAUUUGUUCUAUCCUGUAGCACUUCACUGGAAACCAAUCACUAAUUGUAAUGCGUGUUUAUCUAUACUUACAAUAACAAUAUAAUAAUUCAAAUUUGCUUUGUACUUUCAGGAAGCCAAAAGAACAACCUAUCCCAAAUUAAAAAGAAAUAAUAGUUAACAGUAUAUUUAGGUUCCUGGAAUUGUCUUUGCAAGAGGACCUGCAUUGCUGUGUUGAUUCUACUGAGCAGGUUAGAUUUAUUGGAAAUUUUGUUUGGAACCUCCAACUGGAAUGCUAGAUGACGAAAAAGGUGAUUUUGUUGGCACCGCAGUCUGUGAGCUUCUAUUCCAGAAAAGAAUUGUCCGAGUAGGCCGGGUAACUCAGUUUUGCCGGAGAUUAGGCAGCAUUGAGUAGGUAAUCUUUAUUUGGAAUCUUACAUGAGCAUAAUUUAGUCCUCUUGAGAGGCUAGCCCUGCAAGAUCGGUGCUGGACUGGGGAGCGUCGGCGACGCCACAACCUUCAGCAGUCAGCGGAGUGCGCCCUCUGCGCGCAGGAGGACGAGUCCAUCGACCACCUCCUGCUUGGUUGCGUCUUUAGCAGGGAGGUUUGGUUCAGGACUCUAAACCCGUUGGAUUUGGCCGCUCUAGCUCCCUUGCCGGUAGAUUCACUUGCAGAUUGGUAGCUUGCAGCUCGGAAGCAGGUCCCAAAGGCGCAUCAGAAAGGGUUUGACUCCCUUGUCACCCUCGUCUGCUGUCUGCUGGUCGCUUUGGAAGGAGCGUAAUAGUCGUGUCUUUGAGGGUAGAUCGGAGCAGCCGUCUGUGGUUUGCUCCAAGGUAGCGAGCGAGAUCUCAGUGUGGGUCUUAGCUGGUUUUGUGUCCCUUAGGUCGCUCAGCGUUGUUGUGUAAUUAAACCUUAAAGAUAGGGGGCGGCGCUCGGCGCCGUGUAAUACUCUUAAGUGCCAGGAUCACUUAGGUGAUCUUAGUACUUGGUCGCUCUCUUUCCGCUUAAUGAAAUAACAUGCUUCGGCACGUUCGCGAAAAAAAGAUAUGAAAAAUGUGACCAACUGUGAUAUGGAGCAUCAACCGAAUUACAAGUUGCUGAUUUUUGCAAAUUCAGUCUGUAGCUGCAUCUGCCAACAUUCAUGCAAAGCUUUUGAUUUCGUGGUAAAGUUGGAAGGGUUAAAGCAUCAUGCUACUUGGCAUUUCUGAGAAGUUCGCUUGUAGCGGCAGCCAUGUGGUUUUCAGAAGUGCCGGGAAGCUUUUCCGAGCUUGACGGGAGCCACCGACCACCAGGAUGCCAGCAACAUCGACGUCCACUUGCCCAAGCUAAAGCCCCAAGGUGAGAGAGGGCGUGGACAACACGGGGGCUGCUCGACUUCCUUGCCGUGCGCAGGGACAAGGCAAUGCUGUGGUGCAGCACGUCAAGGAAAGGGGCUAUGCUCGCCACCAGCGAGGAGGCUCAGGUUCAAUGAUAAUUUCCCCUGCGCGAGCCAUGCCAGGAAGAUAUUUGUCGAUAGGGAUAAAAGAGGUUUAUAUAUGACAACUGUAUGCACAUUUCGUAGUAAUGAAUUUUGUUCUCUGUUGGACUCUUCAGUUUCAUACAGUAUUGGUGGUCAACAAGAUAUAUGUUGUUAGUAACAUAGCUGUUGUUUGAACAAAUAUGACUACUGAAUAUGCAUGAAACUCACUUAAGAAUCGCAAACUUGAGCCUUCA